rnacentral:rRNA from 1 species
CCCUUAGAUGUUCUGGGCCGCACGCGUGAUACACUGAGUGGAUCAGCGGGUCAGGUUGCGCGAAAGCGUUUCCUAAUCUUUAAAUCCGCUCGUGAUGGGGAUUGACGGUUGCAAUUUUCUGUCAUGAACGAGGAAUACCUUGUAAGCGCGGGUCAUCAUCCCGCGCUGAAUACGUCCCUGCCCUUUGUACACACCGCCCGUCGCUCCUACCGAUUGAGUGGUCCGGUGAGGCUUUGGGAUCUGAGCGGAAAGAGCGUUUCGCUGUUUCUGCUCGGAAAACUCAGUCGAACCUUAUCAUUUAGAGGAAGGAGAAGUCGUAACA